rnacentral:rRNA from 1 species
UACGUAGGGGGCUAGCGUUGUCCGGAUUUAUUGGGCGUAAAGAGCGUGUAGGCGGCCAUGUAGGUCCGGUGUGAAAACUCGAGGCUUAACCUCGAGAUGUCAUCGGAAACCAUUUGGCUAGAGUCCGGAAGAGGAGAGUGGAAUUCCUGGUGUAGCGGUGAAAUGCGCAGAUAUCAGGAGGAACACCAGCGGCGAAGGCGGCGCUCUGGGCCGGAACUGACGCUGAGGAGCGAAAGCGUGGGGAGCAAACAGG